UCCGGCUUAACACCGGCAGUCUCCUUAGAGUGCCCGGCAUGACCCGCUGGUAACUAAGGACAAGGGUUUCGCUCGUUAAGGGACUUAACCCGACAUCUCACAACACGAGCUGACGACAGCCAUGCAGCACCUGUGCACGUUCCACCCUUGCGGGUGUCACCGACGUUUCCGCCGGCUAAUCCGUGCAUGUCAAGUCUAGGAUAAGGUUCUUCGCGUAGCCUCGAAUUAAGCCACAUGCUCCACCGCUGGUGUGAGCCCCCGUCAAUUCCUUUGAGUUUCAGCCUUGCGACCAUACUCCCCAGGCGGGGUACUUAACACUUUCGCUCCGGCAGGAGGGGCCAUCGGAGCCCUUCCUACCCAGUACCCAUCGUUUAAGGCUAGGACUAC
rnacentral:misc_RNA from 1 species